rnacentral:rRNA from 1 species
UACGGGGGGGGCAAGCGUUGUUCGGAAUUACUGGGCGUAAAGGGCUCGUAGGUGGCCAACUAAGUCCGACGUGAAAUCCCUCGGCUUAACCGGGGAACUGCGUCUGAUACUGGAUGGCUGGAGAUUGGGAGAGGGAUGCGGAAUUCCAGGUGUAGCGGUGAAAUGCGUAGAUAUCUGGAGGAACACCGGUGGCGAAGGCGGCAUCCUGGACCAACACUGACGCUGAGGAGCGAAAGCCAGGGGAGCAAACGGG